GACGAACGCUGGCGGCGUGCUUAACACAUGCAAGUCGAGCGAUGAAGUUUCUUCGGAAAUGGAUUAGCGGCGAACGGGUGAGGAACACGUGAAGAAUCUGCCCUCCACUUUGGGAUAACACCGGGAAACCGGUGCUAAUACCGAAUAUUGAAACAUAAGUGGCAUCACUGAGUUUUGAAAGAAUUUCGGUGGAGGAUGACUUCGCGGCCUAUCAGCUAGUUGGUGAGGUAAUGGCUCACCAAGGCAACGACGGGUAGCCGGCCUGAGAGGGCGACCGGCCACACUGGGACUGAGACACGGCCCAGACUCCUACGGGAGGCAGCAGUGGGGAAUAUUGGGCAAUGGAGGAAACUCUGACCCAGCGACGCCGCGUGCGGGAUGAAGGCCUUCGGGUUGUAAACCGCUUUCAGUAGGGAAGAAGCGAAAGUGACGGUACCUACAAAAGAAGCACCGGCUAACUAUGUGCCAGCAGCCGCGGUAAUACAUAGGGUGCAAGCGUUGUCCGGAAUUAUUGGGCGUAAAGAGCUCGUAGGUCGUUUGUUACGUCGGAUGUGAAAACCUGAGGCUCAACCUCAGGCCUGCAUUCGAUACGGGCAAACUAGAGUUUGGUAGGGGAGACUGGAAUUCCUGGUGUAGCGGUGGAAUGCGCAGAUAUCAGGAGGAACACCAAUGGCGAAGGC
rnacentral:rRNA from 1 species